GUCUAUGGCCAUGCCAUCUUGAACAAGCCAAUGUCUGAUCUCGGAAGCUAAGCAGGGUCGGGCCUGGUUAGUACUUGGAUGGGAGACCACCUAAGAAGACCUGGUGCUGUAGGCA
rnacentral:rRNA from 1 species